AUAUCAAUAAGCGGAGGAGAAGAAAUUAACUAAGAUUGCCUCAGUAACGGCGAGUGAAGCGGCAAGAGCCCAAAAUGGAAAUCUUGUACACAUCGUGUGCACGAAUUGUAAUCUAAAGGGAGUUCGCUCAACGGGCGGUGGCGCAGAAGUGUCCUAGAACGGACCGCCAGAGAGGGUGACAGCCCCGUACGUGGUGCCACUGCUUAACGAGCGGGUUUCCGAAGAGUCGGGUUGUUUUGUAUUGCAGCCCUAAGUGGGAGAUAAACUUCUUCUAAGGCUAAAUAUAUAUGGGAGACCGAUAGCGCACAAGUA
rnacentral:rRNA from 1 species